rnacentral:rRNA from 1 species
GACGAACGCUGGCGGCGUGCUUAACACAUGCAAGUCGAACGGUGAAGCGAGUGCUUGCACUCGUGGAUCAGUGGCGAACGGGUGAGUAACACGUGAGUAACCUGCCCAUCACUCUGGGAUAAGCACUGGAAACGGUGUCUAAUACUGGAUACGACCAACCCUUGCAUGGGGUGUUGGUGGAAAGAUUUAUCGGUGAUGGAUGGACUCGCGGCCUAUCAGCUUGUUGGCGGGGUAAUGGCCCACCAAGGCGACGACGGGUAGCCGGCCUGAGAGGGUGACCGGCCACACUGGGACUGAGACACGGCCCAGACUCCUACGGGAGGCAACAGUGGGGAAUAUUGCACAAUGGGCGAAAGCCUGAUGCAGCGACGCCGCGUGAGGGAUGACGGCCUUCGGGUUGUAAACCUCUUUCAGCAGGGAAGAAGCGAAAGUGACGGUACCUGCAGAAGAAGCACCGGCUAACUACGUG